rnacentral:lncRNA from 1 species
UUCAAUUGAGGUUGAUGUAGCUGGAGGCUAGGGCCCUUCCUCUAUGCCAAUCUUUUGCUACCAUAUCCGGAUCAAGGAAGGAACAUAGCUCGGAUGAUUUUGAGAUCGGCUGGAGACGGACUAAGCAGGCUAGUUGAGGCAUAGGGCACUGGACUCCUCUGUUGGGUGGCCUACAAGAAGUCCACUUGUCGGAGUAUUUUCGAUGGAGGAUUCUCUGAUGCCUAAGUCAAAAAAAUGGAGACAACAAUAUGGAAGGCAGAGAUUUCAGUAGAGUCAGCGCUCGGUGAAGAGAGUAGCAAAUUGCGUGUAUAUUGCGUAGCUGAGGUCCUCUGGGUUGCUUUUGUUAUAUAGA